GAAUUUGAAGCAAAAAAAAAUUGCAGUUAGUUUCGACCUAAUUUAUUGGUAUUAAAUUACCCUAAUUCU
rnacentral:tRNA from 1 species